rnacentral:rRNA from 1 species
AUACGUAGGUGACAAGCGUUAUCCGGAUUUACUGGGCGUAAAGGGCGUGUAGGCGGUCUUGCAAGUCAGAAGUGAAAUUCCUGAGCUCAACUCGGGCGCUGCUUCUGAAACUGCAGGACUUGAGUGCUGGAGGGGAUAGCGGAAUUCCUAGUGGAGCGGUAAAAUGCGCAGAUAUUAGGAAGAACACCGGUGGCGAAGGCGGCCAUCUGGACAGUAACUGACGCUGAGGCGCGAAAGCUUGGGGAGCAAACAGGAUUAGAUACCCUGGUAGUCCACGCUGUAAACGAUGAAUACUAGGUGUAGGGGGUAUCGACUCCCUCUGUGCCGCAGUUAACACAAUAAGUAUUCCGCCUGGGGAGUACGGCCGCAAGGUUGAAACUCAAAUGAAUUGACGGGG